AUUGAACGCUGGCGGCAUGCCUAACACAUGCAAGUCGAACGGCAGCACGGCAGUAGCAAUACUGUGGGUGGCGAGUGGCGGACGGGUGAGGAAUACGUCGGAAUCUGCCCAGUCGUGGGGGAUAACUAGCCGAAAGGUUAGCUAAUACCGCAUACGACCGAGAGGUGAAAGCGGGGGACCGCAAGGCCUCGCGCGAUUGGAUGAGCCGACGUCGGAUUAGCUAGUUGGAGGGGUAAAGGCCCACCAAGGCGACGAUCCGUAGCUGGUCUGAGAGGAUGAUCAGCCACACUGGAACUGAGACACGGUCCAGACUCCUACGGGAGGCAGCAGUGGGGAAUCUUGCGCAAUGGGGGGCAACCCUGACGCAGCCAUGCCGCGUGAACGAUGAAGGCCUUAGGGUUGUAAAGUUCUUUUACCCGUGACGAUGAUGACGGUAACGGGGGAAUAAGCUCCGGCUAACUUCGUG
rnacentral:rRNA from 1 species